rnacentral:rRNA from 1 species
AUUGAACGCUGGCGGCAUGCUUUACACAUGCAAGUCGAGCGGUAACAGGCCUUCGGGUGCUGACGAGUGGCGAACGGGUGAGUAAUGCAUCGGAACGUACCCAGAGGUGGGGGAUAACGCAGCGAAAGCUGUGCUAAUACCGCAUGUGAUCUGAGGAUGAAAGCGGGGGACCGAGCAGCAAUGUUUGGCCUCGCGCCUUUGGAGCGGCCGAUGUCGGAUUAGCUAGUUGGUGGGGUAAAGGCCUACCAAGGCGACGAUCCGUAGCUGGUCUGAGAGGACGACCAGCCACACUGGGACUGAGACAUGGCCCAGACUCCUACGGGAGGCAGCAGUGGGGAAUUUUGGACAAUGGGCGCAAGCCUGAUCCAGCAAUGCCGCGUGCGGGAAGAAGGCCUUCGGGUUGUAAACCGCUUUUGGCAGGAACGAAACGGUGUCCGCUAAUACCGGGCGCUAAUGACGGUACCUGCAGAAUAAGCACCGGCUAACUACGUG